rnacentral:lncRNA from 1 species
UCUAUUGUCCUAAAUUUCUAUUCCACGCUCUCCUUUUUCCUAUUCUUUCUACUUUCCAGAACUCAUGCUCUCUCCCUCACACGUUCCUCUACUCCUUCACAAGAAGAACGACGCGAACCCAAUAAUUCCAACGAGUCCUAGCCGUGGUUUAUCCAACUUUUGGCGAGGAACAUCAAUUUCAUAUAGCUGUCCCGUUCGUCCUUUCUUAUCCAGCGAGGAGUAAGAAUUCAAACAAUGACUCGUCCUUCUUAUUUCUUGUCAAUUCUUUUUCUCUCGAUUUUACCCUCUCUAGUACCAUUCGAGGUUUCCAAGCACUUUCUAAAAGAAUUUCGAAUUCACAGUAGUCCCACAUCAAAAAUCUUUCCAAAUUUCGUGAGAUUUUAGGUCCUAUAAAUAGGCCUUCUCUUCACUGUUCAAAGGGAGUUUUUUGGGAGGCGAGAAAAGGAACACCCAGCUAAGUGUUUUAGGAGUUCUUAUUUUUCGUCACUGAAAUUUUGUUGAUUUGCGGCUAUUUUGAGUGGGAGUGGUGUUGGAAUUCGUCACGUUCAAACUUGUUGUCCGGUUCGCUUCCCAAAAUCAGGUGAUCUUCCCUCCCUUUUUUUAUUCAGUUAUGUUAUUUCUUCUUUAGUUGAUUGGUAGUGAUGAUUUUUUUUGGCAGAGGCUAUAAAUUUGUAUUUGUCUUGCUGUGUUAUAAUAACAUGCUUAUGUUCAUUUUUUUGUUCUGUUUCUUGUUUCUUUAAUUCUCUCAUCAUGUUUAAAUUUUGUUUAGCUUCCCUGAGAUAGUUUUUCUCUAGCUAUUAAUAUGCAUAUGAGUUCAAUAACUUUUUAUUUUAUCUUGGACUACUUCGUAUAGGUCCUUCAUGUUGAUUUUGGGUGAUCUUUUAGUUUUAGUUUUGUUGUUCCAUGGGUAGAGUAAGUUUAUUUUCAUGUGCGUGCCUCUAGUUGUUGUUCCUGAUUAAGUUGGAAUAGCUAUGUAAAAUAGGUCCGCAACUAUUCCGUAGUCAAAUCUUCAUGUCCAUUUGAUUUGUUGUCUGUUAUCUCUCUAUUUUAGCUGAGUUUUUGAACCUGGAGUGUAUGCUCUUUAGUCUGUUAACUGUUUUAUCUUCACAUGCCUUUUUUAAUUCAUGCUGUACAACUGAUGGUUUCCUUCCUUCUCGUUGCCCUCUUUAAAUGCAUAUGAUUAAGAAUAUAAGUCGUUUACUCCUCUACAUCAAAAUGUUUCGUCUUAAAAUGCUAUGUUGAACUUGGUGGUUCUUAAAUUGCUCAUCAAUUGUAUUGCUGAAGUUUGUCUCUGUUUUGCCAAAACUGAUUAUUUUUAGUAUGUCUGUCUUGUCGGAAAUUGAAUAUUGAUAGAAAUAUGGAUUGAUUUUCUUUCAAGUUUUCUUCAGUUGUAUUCCUUUAAAUUUUGGCUGUUGACAACCAUUAAUUUCUAUUCCUUGAAGUUAAUCACUGUUGCUAAUAUAUUAUAGUUAAAGUUGAGUUGUGAUUAAUGGAAACAAUUAUGUGAUCAAGCUAGUCCUAUCUUUCUGUAGCUCCAUAUGUAUUGUUUUGACUUCCUGAACUAAACUCCUAAUAUUGGAUUGAAUUAUAUCACUUGCUUGUCAUUAAGUCAUUGGUUUUCGCUUAAUUGUUUUGCUAAUCUUUGUUUCCACCAUUUUUCUGUGUAUGAACCUUCUUGUUCGAGUCUAAUGGGACUCCCAUCCUUGCAUUCGUUUCUCUUUGAGUCAACCUCCUUUAAGCCGAUUGAAAGGAAGCUAAUAUUAUUGGAUUAAACACCAAGAAGACAGCACCAACAGUAGCCUAAAGGGCUAAAAGAGUAGCAUUUUCUUGGAGUUGAAAGUUAGAAAAUGGCACCAGCUGAAGCAGAGUUGCAACCGCCUCAAAAAGCUGAAAAACGAGGAGCAAAAUUGGGUUAAAACCCAUAAUUAAUGAGGCAAAGUUGCAGCAGCCUUAAAGUGCUGAAUUUAGCAUUUUCUUCGACUUAAAAGGUCGGAAAAUAGCGCCAGAAGCAGCAGAACAAGGAGCAGAUUAAGGGUCAGGAAGCCCAAAUUUUAUUCUCUCAUUUAUAUUUAACUCUUUUUAUAUGGUGUGUUUGCUAUGAUCUUACUAACUCUUGUUUGUUUUGCCUUUGAACUAGAUGAAUCCUCACCAGAGUUAUCAAUGUUAUUUCUUAAAUCAUAUCUCUUGUUUCUUAUCACUUGUCAAAUUGUUUUAAGUUAGACAACUUAAGUUUAUUAGAAUAACUUAAGAGUCUUUCAUGUUCUUUCAUAGUUAUUGAAAAGCUUUAGUCCAUGUUUAUGAGUUUGAAUUAAUUGUAUAGUUCAAAAACUUGACUAUGGAUAAAAUUUUAAGUUAGAAUUAUUCUUGAGAUUUUGCAAGUUUCAAAAGAUUUUUAUCUAAGUUUUAAACAGGAAUUUUUAUAAGUAAUUCUUUUUAUUUUAUAAAAUUAGCCAAAACUUUUAAAAUUCGUCGGUCAACCGCAUGUGCGGAUUCUCUAAGAUGCUUAAACCCUUCCUUAGAGGAUUAUUUGAACCCUUACCUGAUUUUGAUUUUAUUUAAAAUAUUUCCUUUCAAAAACUCCUUUUUAAAAUAAUUUUCUUAUUUUUUCUAAAAAAUUAAGUGGCGACUCCUAAAUUAAUCAUUUUUCCAAAAGGUUAAUAAAAUAAAGUUGCGAAAAGGUUUCGAAACCUUUAGUUUUCAAAAUCGGAUCAUAACAGCAGCAACAGUGAAUCGUCUUCGAUGGUCCAAUACACCGUCGAUUCCAUGGACAGUGAGAUGAUUGUCCACAUAAAUGUCAAGUUGCCUGAUUUUUAACGAACUCAAUUGAAUUCUCUAUCAAAGAAAUCGAUACUUGUCCAAUAUAACUUUUGAAGAAGAAGAGACAAUUGUUAUUGAAGAGAGUUGGGUCAAUUGACACUGGAUAAAAGGCUGACCCAACUGAGAGAGGUUCUGAGAGUGUGGCAACAAAGGAGAAGAGCGAAAGGGCGAUGCGGGGAUGGGCGAAUCUUGACGGACAAAAUGAAGUUCGGUGGGGGCCAAUAUAGUGCCAGAGAAAUUAUUCUUUGUGGAGUCGAUGGUGGAAGUGAAGGGGCAAGGUUGGAUCAUUUAGUGGGUGGGGUGGGUGUGCUUAGGUGGACGUCUAUGUGGUAUUAUAAUUUACACAGUGAAUGCCACAUCUUAUUCCGUUAAUGUCACAUUUUAUUCCGUUAAAUGAAAGGAUAGAAGUGAUCCAAUAGUAAGACGGGAAUGAUAGUAUUGAGACAAAAUAUAGUUGAAGGGUAUAUUUGCUCUAUUUCGAAUAAUUGAAGAAUAGUUUUGACCAUUUUCCGUAUAAAAAAUAAUAGUGUAAUAAACUAACCAUAUCAAUCAUUAUUUUCUUAAUGAUGUCAAGUUUAAAUAUAACAAGUAAAAAUGAACGGAUGAACUAGAAUAAAGUAAAAAUUUACUCUUUUGUCAAUGUUUACGCUAAUUAGAUGUAAAUAUAUAGAUUUUGUCUUAAUUACUCCCUCUGUUUCAGUUUAUCUGACUUACUUUCCUUUUAAAUCCGUCCUAAAAAGAAUGACACGUUUUUAUAUUAAAUAACAACUUAACCCUUAACAAUUUAUAGUCACACAAAUAUCUAUCACUUGUUUAUUUUUUUAUCACAAGUUUCAAAUGCCUUUUUUUUUUAAACUCUGUGUCGAGUCAAAUCAACUCAUAUAAAAUGGGACGGACACAAAUAUCUAUCACUCACUUAUUUUUUAUCACCAGUUUCUAACGUCUUCCUUUAUAUUUUAAACUUUGUGCCGAAUCAAAUUAACUCAUAUAAAAUGGGAUAGAGAGAAUAUAAUCUAAGCAUAAUAAAUUAGAACUCGUAUGAUUUGAUGAAGGGACAAUUUGAGAGACCUCCUCUCACGUUUCACUCAAUAACAUUCACGUCCCUCGAGAUUUGCGAUAUUAUGCAUACCUCCCUUAUUUUGAUUUUUUUUUUAACAAUUCUUUCUAAUCUAUUUUUCAUUAAUGCAAUAAAAUACAAUUUGACAAAUUUGCCCUUUUCUAAUACUCUACUAAAUUCCUUUAGUUAAUUGAUUUUAUCAAAAUAUCAUAUUUGAUAAAUUCUUUUUUUUUUUUUAAAUCCUUGGCUCAAAAAAUUCUUCUCUUCAAACAGGUCCCAAGUUCUCUUCCUCUUCGGUCUUUUUCUUUGCACGGGUAAUUGGUCAUCCUUAUUUUCUCCUCUAUAUACAUUGCAACACAUAAAGUUCCUCACGGUUUAUUUAGUUUUGGAGCAAAAGUACUACAAUUUUUUUAUCCUAGAGGGUAUGCUUACGGUUGUGUAUCAAUUAGUUCAAUUUGAAGUAUUUGUUUGAUUUAUCAGUUAUCAGUUUGUGUAUAUGCUAAACCGUUAUAGAACCAUAAAUAUACUAUCUUACCAAUUAUUGAUCAUUAUCAAUUUAGUUAUCGGUUUAAUUGUUAAGAUUUGACAUAAAAAAAUAAUAGUUGAAAAUUACUUGAAAACAAGAUGACAAACCAAAUGAACCAUGCACAUGAUUUGAAAAAUUGCAUCUUUGAUCUAAAGGCAAAAGUACUCAUUAUCCCCUGAACUUGAAGUUUUUUAUACGGUGUACACCUAAACUAAAUUCCGUUUUAAUUACCCCGAACUUGCUUAUUCCUCCGUUGCAUACACCUUUUUUGUCCACUUGGCAUAGAAAUUGACAACACACUCUACUAGGCGCGUGAGGAAGUGAUUUUUUGCCACAUCANNNNNNNNNNNNNNNNNNNNNNNNNNNNNNNNNNNNNNNNNNNNNNNNNNNNNNNNNNNNNNNNNNNNNNNNNNNNNNNNNNNNNNNNNNNNNNNNNNNNNNNNNNNNNNNNNNNNNNNNNNNNNNNNNNNNNNNNNNNNNNNNNNNNNNNNNNNNNNNNNNNNNNNNNNNNNNNNNNNAAGGAGUUCCGCGAAAUCAGCCCUUAUUCAAAAAUAACUUUUAAACGAUGAAUUUUAAUAUUUGGCAUAUUUUAAACGAAAAAUAGGGCAAAAUGUAAAUGAAAAUUAAAGGAAACAAAGAUUAACACUUACUUGGUAAGAAUUUCAGACAAAUUUGAAAUUUAAUCGACCAACUUCACGUCUAGAAAAAUCCAAAUCCAGAAGGAGUUCCGCGAACUCAGCCCUUAUUCAAAAACAACUUUUAAACAAUGAAUUUUAAAUUUAAGAAAUAUAUUUUUUGCAAUAUUAAUUUAUCUAGGUGGCUAUUAUUUAUCCAAGUGGAAAUCCACAUCACCACUUUUGCCAGCUGUCGCGCGCGUGUGUAGUCACAAUAGGAGCAGGUGGAUGAAAAAGGUGUACGCGACGGAGGAAUAAACAAGUUCGGGAGUAAUAAAAACGGAAUUUAGUUUAGAUGUACACCGUAUAAAAAGUUUCAACUUCAAGGGGUAAUGAGUACUUUUGCCUGAUCUAAAACAAACAUUGUCACAUUGUAGAAUGAUUGAGAGUUUGAGACAACCACAAAUAAAAGUAUAAAACUAAAUUCUAAGUCAAGGACUUUAUAUACCAAAUGGUAUAAAUGUAAUUAUUUAAUUUACUAUUAGGUUAUCGGUUAACCCGUUAAGAAAAAACCUCAAACCGUUAAGAAUGAAUAAUCGAAUAAUAAAAAAUCAAAACCCGGCCGUUAGAGAAACUUUUAAACCAAUAAUCCAUUACCGAUAAACCAAUAACUUUUUGUUGAUUCAAAUUAUCAGUUUCAGUUAGAUUUUGAAAGAUACACGUCCAUGGAAUAAUUGGCCUCACGGGGAAAGAAGAAGAAAGCGUAGGACCCAUGUUUGUAGGGAAAAAUACUUUCCAACAAAGAAAUUACGGGAUUUUAACAUUGUUUUUUUUUUGGUUAAAUAUGAGAGUUUAAAUGAAAAAUGUAAUAUUAAAAAAAGGUAGAUUUGUCAAGUGUAUUUAAUUUACAUUAAUAAAAAAUAGAUAAAAGGAUUUGUUACAAAAAUAAAAAUAAAAUAUAUACGUAAUAUCGUAAACCACGAAGAAGGUUAAAGUAAUUGAGUGAAACAUGAAGGGUGGUCUCUGAAAUCAUAUAUAUAUAUAUAUAUAAAAGAAAACCUUAGGCCCGCCUACGUGGCGCCACCACAACAAGAAUUCUCUUUUAAUUUUAUUUAUUUACAAAACCAGUCUUCCCCUUUCAUGAAAAGUUGUGACUUUUAUGAAAAAUUGUUACUUUAAUGAAGAGUUGCGAAUUUUAUGAAAAGUUGUGACUUUUAUGAAGAGUUGCGACUUUUAUGAAAAAUUGUGAUUUAUAUGAAAGGUUGUGACCUUUACGAAGGGUUGCAACUUUUCCAAAUAGUUGUAACCUUUCCGAUAAUGCACAAUAAACAUUUGUUCACACUAUCUUUUGUUUUCUAUAAAUAGAGGAAAUUCCUCUCAUUUUAAAACAACAAAAAUUCUAAACCUCUUCUUAUUCUUCUUCACAAUUAAAUAUUUGUGUACUUUGCUCCUUUUGAGUGGCUCACUGACACCAUUGCUUAUGUUAUAUUAUCAUGGUAUGUAAUUUUAUACUCAUUAUUUUAUGCUUAUGUUAUUAAUGAUAAAUGAUAAGAUAUAAUAAUUUUUAUUUUCCUUUACAUUAUUAAUGUUUGUUACUACGUAAUCUUGUAUGUAAGAUAAUAUAGUGUUUUAGUUUUAAUGACUAAUAACUUUUAAGUAUAUUUUAUAAAUUUCAUAAUAUUAAAUUUUCGCGUUAUCCCUUAAAUAUAAAAGAAGAAAGGGCGGACAAAAUAUGAGAAUGAAAAUUCCAAAACGAGCAAAGUCAUUCCUCCUCGGCAUUGUCGUUUUCCACCAUUUAUGAGUGUGCUAGCUUUUAAAAAGAGAAAAAUGUAAACUUGUUUUCAGCAAUAGUAAAAUAAAAAGAGGCAAACGUAGUAGAUUUUGAUAAAAUAAAAUAAUAAAAAAAAUUGCAAGUAGGAUAGGAGAGUAGAUCGCUGUUGGAGUUGACCUGUGUGUAUUGUAUCUUCUUCUUCCCAUCGAAUUCAUGUCUUCGUCGCUAGUCUAGUUUAGAUCUAUCUAUCAAUAUCAAUAUUCUUCAAGAAAACAACUACUAGUAUUGGAUGAGGAAAGCGUUGUUAUCGAAGCUGAGCUGAGUGCUGGGGAUUUUGAUUGUUUGAUGGGCAACGCAUGCCGUGGAUCUUUCGGAGGCAAAACUUUUCAGGGCUACCCUCAGCCUCAAGAUCAUUCAGAAUCCAAUUCCAAUCCCAAACAUAAUUCCGAUUCCCCCAAACCAAAAAAGGAACAACAACCCCUCGUCACCAUGAAUCGUACAAGCACUAACCAGUCCUAUUACGUCCUCGGUCAUAAGACCCCUAACAUUCGCGAUCUAUACACCCUCGGCCGCAAACUAGGACAAGGUCAGUUUGGCACCACUUAUUUAUGCACCGAAUUGUCUUCCGGUAUCGACUACGCCUGUAAAUCUAUUGCCAAGAGAAAACUCAUCUCUAAGGAGGAUGUAGAAGAUGUCAGGAGGGAAAUUCAGAUAAUGCACCAUUUGGCUGGUCACAAAAACAUCGUUUCCAUCAAGGGUGCUUAUGAGGAUCCUUUGUAUGUUCAUAUUGUCAUGGAACUUUGUGGUGGCGGUGAAUUGUUUGACCGCAUCAUUCAAAGAGGACACUACACUGAGAGAAAGGCUGCCGAUUUGACUAAAAUUAUUGUGGGUGUUGUUGAGGCAUGCCAUUCACUUGGAGUUAUGCAUAGAGAUCUCAAACCUGAGAAUUUCUUGUUGGUUAACAAGGAUGAUGAUUUCUCUCUCAAGGCCAUUGACUUUGGACUCUCAGUAUUCUUUAAGCCAGGUCAAUCUCCUACUUUCUUCUCUUUCACUUUCUAUUUUUUUACUCAUAGCCCAUAGCCAGGUUAAAUUAUUCUAGCUUUGAGUGCAGCUAUUCUUUUAAUUGUGUGCGUGGACGGACAUAUUAAGGCUAUGUGUAGUUGUUCAUGUCCAUGCUGGUAGGCUACUACUAAUGAAGUAUGAUCUUGGAGAUGCUUUUAUGCACCAACUCUCAAUCUAGAUGAAUAGUUAGCUACUUUUAACGUUGAUGUGGCGGCAGUUCCCUUAAAUUGGUAUGUUGGUUUGAUGGAUUUUGUUGCUUGCUUCUCCAGGCCAAAUUUUCACAGAUGUUGUUGGGAGUCCAUACUACGUUGCUCCUGAGGUGCUUUUGAAGCAUUAUGGUCCAGAAGCAGAUGUUUGGACAGCAGGGGUCAUACUCUAUAUCCUGCUAAGUGGAGUUCCACCAUUCUGGGCUGGUAUGUUUAUAAUCCUAUACAGUAUAGCUGUAACUUUUCUGAUUUUUGUCUUUUUAACUUACCAUCUAAAUUCUUCAGAAACACAGCAGGGGAUAUUUGAUGCAGUUCUGAAAGGGCACAUUGAUUUUGACUCAGAUCCUUGGCCUUUAUUAUCGGAGAGUGCAAAAGAUCUCAUCCGGAAGAUGUUAUGCAUGCGACCCUCAGAGCGGUUAACUGCUCAUGAAGUAUUAUGUAAGUUUAUUUACCUUAUAAGUUAUAGUAACCUUACAUUUUUACUGGUUACUGAAUGGAUCAUUAUUUUCUCCCAUGAGAUAAAUAUGGUUUUGCUUGUUUGAUAGUUGUUAUAUCAAGAGAUACUGUGUUGUAACAGUGUUGUUGUUCUGUCAGAGUUAUAAGAACCCUCUUAACUUUCUUCUGGACUGUGCUUCUGGUGGCAGAUUGACUACUAAUUUAUCUAAUUUAUGUAAAAAACUGUUAGUUUAACAGUAGAGAGGAGUUUCUCAUACCUGAACUAUAACUUGUUAGGUUAUCUAUGAGCCCUUUGGAAAUAUCAGGUUUAUUUUCUGUACUUCUGAUUUAAAUAAUAAAUUUGGCUUGACUACAAGCCGUAAUAGAUCAAUUUGCACUGCAUAAAGUGGACCAAGUCAUUGUAUUUCUCAAAUUUCAAUUGUAUUGUCUAUCUAUGCCGGCUUGUAUGGUGUCUUUCAUGUAACCAGCUGCUGAUCUGGUGUUAUGGUUUCCUCUAAAAUUCUGCAGGUCAUCCUUGGAUUUGUGAAAAUGGUGUUGCUCCUGAUAGAGCUCUUGAUCCUGCAGUACUUUCUCGCCUCAAACACUUUUCUGCAAUGAACAAAUUAAAAAAGAUGGCUCUGCGGGUAUGCAUAUAUAUAUCUAGGAAUAACUUUUUUGCCCAAGUCUGUUAAUUAUGGUUCUUCAGUGUCCAUAAACCUCAUUAUUGAAGUUACACAAGAAAAUGCUGAUUAUGUCCUUUGGGCUAAGUUGUAUGGACUCUUCACUUUCGAUGCCGCACCCGUGUCGGAUUCUCCAAAAAUACACUACUUUUGGAGAAGCCGACACGUACCCAUGGACAUUUUUGAAGAGUCCAAGCAACAUAGCUUCUGGGAGGUGUGUAACCAAAUAAUGCAAUUAUUGAUGUUUUCAUACUUAAUAUGCUUUUAGGUGAUUGCUGAAAGCUUGUCAGAGGAGGAGAUUGCCGGUCUUAAGGAGAUGUUUAAGGCCAUGGAUACUGAUAACAGUGGUGCAAUUACAUUCGAUGAACUAAAAGCUGGUUUGAGAAAAUAUGGCUCUACUCUGAAGGAUAUAGAGAUACGGGAACUUAUGGAUGCGGUAAGAAAACCUAGACUGCAAACUAAUUGUAUUUUUUUUUAUUAAUUGUAUUUAUUUUGUGCAUCUGGUGAUGUGACUGUACGCAAAGGUCGGUAGGAGCAGAAAAAUGUAAAAUGACAUAAGAUCACGAACUAAUGGUCAAAUCUCAAGGUUACUCGAUGUGCAAAUACUAGAGUCAGAUUGGGAUUUGGCACUUUACUUUGUUUAAUUAAUUAUGUACAUUCAUGAAGGAGCACUUAAAACUCAAUGUAGUUGCCAAAGCUUCACUGGAAAGGUGCCCAACAUUUUUUGUUGUUGUUGUUGUUGUGUAUGUGUAUGAUAAGUUUCUGGUAACUGAGGAGGUUGUGCAGGCUUACCAAGUAGUUGGCACCACAUAUAUGCUUCAUCAGAAACAACUUUCUGUUAAUGGUUCUAGUUGUAUCUUUAAUUAGGCCCGUGAUUAUCUUUGCAUUUCUCCCUAAACAUGUUUGUCUAUGAGGUCAUGCAGAAGUGCUUAUCUAACUCUUUAAGGCCAUCGAUGUAAUAUUACUGCUUUCAGGCUGAUGUGGACAAUAGUGGAACUAUUGACUAUGGAGAAUUCAUAGCAGCAACUAUUCACCUUAACAAAUUGGACCGCGAGGAACAUCUCAUGGCAGCAUUUCAGUAUUUUGACAAGGAUGGAAGUGGUUAUAUUACUGUAGAUGAGCUCCAGCAGGCGUGUGCAGAUCAUAACAUUACAGAUGUAUUCUUUGAGGAUAUUAUCAGAGAAGUUGAUCAGGAUAAUGUAAGUCAAUUAUAUUGAGGAUAAAGUUGAAGUAUUCUUGGAACUUAUCAAUAAAAAAGUGGACACACAUUAGGAGAUUAAAUUUCUUCAUGUUUUGCAGUUCUACUGAUUAAUCUCUCUACUACUCAUAAUUUUUGUGCAACAAAACGAAAAUUAAAAAAAAUAUAGCACUUUAAGAUUUCAUAUGAAGCUUUUCCUUAAGAUAAAAUGUUAUUGACAAUGUAGUGUAUGUAUCGAAAAUACUGAUAUUACCGAAUGAUCAUAUGUGAGCUUAAUAAAAUAGUUCAAUCCCGUGCGAAGCACGGGUAAUUUACCUAGUUUAUUUAUAAUUGCUCAGAUGCAAUGAUAUGCUUUGAAAAUUAUUUUUGAAGAACUUCUUGUAGUUCUGUUCACUUCAUAAUCCAAGUAGUUUUGUGUAUUCAAAGGCAUGAUGAGAAGACAAAGCUGACAUAGUUGUCCAAAAGAAAAAAAAAGAAGACAAAGAAAUUGUAGCAUAAUAAAUAUGAAUGGGUACCGUUACAGACAUUUCUGUCUUUCUUCAAAUCAAACAAAUCUUUGCUGUAUUUUGAUUAGUUUUCUGGAGCCUCAGUAUUGGAUUAGGGCCUCGGCUGCAGCCGUGAUACAGGCAAAUUGUUAUGCUUUAGGAAAUCUGUAUUUUAAAUGGAUGGAAUGAUUCUUUUGGCAUCUCUACAUCUCUUGUUACUUCAUUUGACUAACUAUUUAGUUGAUCUUCUGGUGGAUUCCCUUUUCAGGAUGGACGCAUUGACUAUGGAGAAUUUGUUGCUAUGAUGCAAAAAGGAAAUCCAUGCAUAGGAAGACGAACGAUGCGAAAUAGUCUGAAUUUCAGCAUGAGAGAUGCGCCCGGAGCUCAUUAGCUUUUUGAAUGGACACAUGAUGUAGGUAUUUCCCUUUUUUUUUUUUUUCCGUAACUGUUUCUUUGGCAAUGAAUUUGAAGAAAUCUUUCCUUGUUCUAUCCUUGAGAAAUUGAAUUGGGUUGGAGUAUAUUUGUUUCACAUUCAGAGUUUUUUUUUUCUCUUGAGGAUAAGAAUUUUUUUUAAAUAACAACACGAGUGUAUGCUGUAAAACUGUACAGGUGCCGCAAAAAAAUUACAUUCAGCAAAAGUAUAUCCCAUCUUAUCCUGUUGGGACUCUAGCAUGUCACAGAUAGAUUCAGCUUCCUCCACAAUGCUCCAUUUUACACCAUUAACAAAAAUAAAUUUCAGAUACAGAGUUCUCUUGCAUUCCCAUCUUUUUUAUAUUGCUAGUUUCUUUCCUUUUGGCAAAAGUUUGAUGUAUCAAAUUUGACGAUUGUCCUACAUGGCUAUGUGAGGAAUGUUCCUAAGGGAGCACUAAGGCUGUCAAAUGUGUGGGUGUGUGGGUGGGGGUGGUGGAGGACUGAAAUUGAAGAGGUUAAAAUGGGCUGAGCUAAAAGUCAUGUUGGAUCAUAACCCACCCAAAUUUACUUUGGGCUAACAUGGGCUAGAAUCUGGUUUGGGUCAUGACCCGUCCAGUUUGACCCGCUUAAUCUAAACAAUAUUAAACACUUGCUAUCAUUUAUGACAAAUGGCAUUCAACCCAUAAAAUCAGCCCAGAUUUGUACUAAAUUUUCAUUUAGGUGCAGCUCCUUGUAGAGUAAAUUGAUAGACUUUAUAGUAUGGGACCAACUUCAUAAUUUUUGCAAUUUAUUUAAUAGUAUUUAUGAGAAAUAUUGAAAAAGAAUAUUAUUGAAUUGUUGUGUCUACAUUAUUACAUUGAGACUCUAUUUAUAGACACUACAUUAGACUCCUUUUCCAACUAGGACACUACAAUACCAUCCUUUCCUAAGUAGGGUUCUAUAUACUAUUUCUAUUCCUAUUCCUAUUCUAAGUAGAAUGGUAUAUAUUAUUCUUGUUCCUAUUUUUAUUCUAGACACAAUACUUAAACAUGACCCUUAACAUGGCUUCAACGGACAACUAUGCCCUCCAACUUUGAGUAUACACAAGUAGACACUUAAACUUGUAUAAAAUUGAAUAAGUAGACACAUGUGUCCUACACGGUAUAAUACACGUAGGACACAAAAUUUUCAUGUAGGGUGCCUUGUAGGACGGAUGUGUCUAUUUGUUCAAAUUUAUACAAGUUUAAUUGCCUACUUGUGCACAUCCAAAGUUAAAGGUCAUAGUUGCCAGCUGGCGCCAAGUUAAGGAUCAUGUUUAUGUAUUAUGCCUUUAUUCUAACACUCCCCCUCAAGCUGGUGCAUACAAGUCAUAUGUACCUAGCUUGUUGCAAAUGUAAUUAAUAUGAGGACUGAUGAGGGACUUGAUGAAGAUAUUUGCAAGUUGAUCACUUGACUCACAAAUUUUGUAACAGUAUCUCCCGACUUCCCAAACCAAGCUUGAGAAGAACGUUUCAUACUAUAGAGUGACUUGCACAAUCGACAUAUAAGAUUGCUAGACUCCCCCUGAGUAACAAAACCAAGUGGUUGCUCCAUAUGUAUUCAUCGAGAGCCCAGCCCAAAUAUCUGAGUAUAUCCUUUUGGAUAAAGUGAAUCUAAAACAAAGAGAAUAUUGCUUGAAAACUUGGAUUUUUCGGAAACUCUCAGAUAUGUUGGAUUUUGCACAACAUUGACAAAGUUGAAACUAUGUAAAUCAGAUCUGAGGAGUCACCGAAAAGAUGCACGGUGCUACGUAAAUUAGAUAUGAGAAAGUAGUCACCAAAAAGAUGCACGAUGCUACGCAAAUUAGAUAUGAGAAAGUAGUCACCGAAAAGAUGGCAUAGUGCUAAAUAAAUUAAAUAUGAAAAAGUAGUCAUCGACAAGAUGGCACGGUGCUACACAAAUUAAAUAUGAAAAAGUAGUCACCGAAAAGAUGGCACGGUGCUACACAAAAGUAAAUAGUCACCGGAAUGAUGACACGAUGCUACAAAAAUCAAAUAUGAGAGUAGUCACCAGAAGGAUGACAUAGUGCUACAUAAAUUAAACAUGAAAAAAUAGCUACUGGAAAGAUGACACGGUGCUACACAAAUCAAAUAUAAAAAAAAUAGUCACCGGAAAGAUGACACAGUGCUACACAAAUCAAAUUUAAGAAAGUAGUCACCGAAAUGAUGGCACGGUGCUACACAAAUCAGAUGAGAAAGUAGUUGCCGGAAAGAUGACACGCUGCUACACAAAUACUGACUGAUACGGGGUUGACAGAACAACCCUAGAAAGUCGUCAGAAGUUGACACACAAAGUCCUUUCUGACUAAGUUUUCUUCCCCUGAAUAUGGUUUUCAUGCAUAUAUCACUAGCCCUACUUUGGUUAACAUUACCAAUGGCAAGACGGACGACAUAUAUGAGUCAUAGCCGCCCGCCAGCGGCGGAAUCUUUUUAAUAAUAUUGAAAAAGAAUAUUAUUGAAUUGGUCUCUACAUUAUUACAUUGAGACUCUAUUAAAAGACACUACAUUAGACUCAAAUUUCAACUAGGACACUACCAUACAAUCCUUUUCUAAGUAGUAUUCUAUAUACUAUUUUUAUUCCUAUUACUAUUCUAAGUAUGAUGGUAUAUAUUAUUGUUGUUCAUAUUCCUAUUCUAACAGUAAUAAUUUGGCAUAUGGAAUGUAGGCAAUUAUUUUUUAAUAUGACAUGGCAUGCAAAAUAAUGUGUUUUUUUAGAAUCACAUAACAAUAAUCAAGUGACUUUAUUAUUCCAAAAAAAGAGACCUUGAUAGAUCAUUUCCAUAUUAGGUGAAUAAAAAAAAAAAAAGGAUUUGGUAACAAAAAACAAGAAGGUUAAAUGAAAUUAAAAAAAAAGAGUAAGAAGUAACUUAAGAUAUUUCAGUUUGCCAAAAAUAAGCAUAUUAGGAUAGUAUAUGAGAAAAAAAAACAGUUUUAUUCGAAUUGAGUUUCGAAUUGGUUAACAAACUCAGUUCUCAUUCCAAUUUCAUAUCAAGUGAAAAGGUCAAUAUAAACUAAAGAGAUAACGAUUGUCCCAUCUUUACACACAUGUAGUCAGGUUAGAAAGGGGGUUGAAUUGACAUAGAAACUGGGCUAAGUUGGGUAUUAUGUUAAAAUGGGUUGUAAUUAUACAGGUUAAGACGCAGCACAUUAUUAAAUUAUCUUGAGCUCAACCCAUAAAUUUUGGGCUCCUAAUAUCUUAGCUUCAUUUGACACCUCCAAGCAAGGAGUGCCACGCACGAGCAGAGCAAAAAGCAAGGGGAAUUCUUCUCUUCUUUUGGGGAGAAAUCAUUUGAUUACGUAUUGAAUACAUUGAGCACAUUCCAACAAAUUCAAAUUUUAGAAGUUUCAUAAUAUGGUGACUAUAUUUUAGCUUGCCGUCAAUUACCCCAACCUUCUUCCUUUAUCUAGAUGUGGGACGAACACGGUAAAGCUCACAUAGACCGAGUUAGGUAAAAUAUUUAUCUGUGGAGUAAAAUAUUACCCCUGUUCCAUUUUGUGUGACGUAUUGAAAAAUAUCUGUGGUUAAAUUGACUAAUUUUCUGAGUGAAUUUGAACAUUGAAUAUUCAUUUAAAAAAAAAAAAAGUUUUACAUCUUUAAAAACUAUAUAAAAAGUAUUGUAAGUCACAAUAGUUUACAAUUCAAAAUAUUAAAGAAGUAUUUAAAAAAACAUGGUCAAAGAAAAACUUAUUUUACACUUCAGAUAGUUAUAGGGUUACAUAAAGUGGAGCAAAAUACUCUUGUAAGUACUCUUUCAUCCUUAACCAGAGGUCUUGAGUUUGAGUCCCCCUAGAACAGAGUUCCUUUUGUUAGGGAGCGGGUGGGAACCAAAAAAUAAAAGUGGAACAAAGGGAGUACUAAAGUAUACUUAUGGAAGUUAAUUAAUAAUCUGAAGAUAAGGGUUAAAAACAUACCUAAACUAUCCCAUAUUUUUUUAGUUUCAUGCUUGAACUAUUGAGAGUGGGUUUUAUACCUAAACUAUCACUUAUUAGUUUGAGAAACACACAUCUUUCUUUUAUUACACUCUCAUCAUGGUGUGUAAUACACUCCCUUUUUUAUUUAAAAAAUUGCUAUAAUACACUCUACAUGGACAAAACAUUCCAUCUUCACAAAAAUUAAAUAAUUAGUAUUAGUUAAAGUUAAAUAUUAAAGUAUUGCUAUUUCCCCCCCUCCCCCCCAAAAAAAUUUAUAAAAUAAAAUGUAAAAUAUUUUUCUUACCCAACUCCACCCCUUCUUCUCACCGUACUCCCCCAUCCCAAAUUUUUAGUUUAUUUUUUUAAAUAAAAAAUUCCCUUCGAAUAAUAAUUUAGAUAUUAUUUUAAUUUUUUUUAAAAAAAAAAAUUCUACCCUACUCCACAUAACUCCCAUCUUCCAUUUUUUUUUCUCGUUUUGUAUUAGAUAUGUAUUUUCUUUUCUAAUAAAGUACUUUUUUACUUGCCGCAAGACUUUUUAUAAAAUAAAACUUUUAUUUUUGUUAUAUUUGGUAUGCAAGUAGAAAAGAACGUUUUCCUAAAAAUAUAUGUACACAUCUAACAGAAAACGAGAAAACUGUAAAAAAUAAAUUAGGAGCGGAGGGUUAGAUGGGGUGGGGUAGAAUUUUAUUUUACUUUUUUAAAAAAAAUAAUAUCAAAAUUAUUUUUAGGGAGUGGGGGAGGGGGUGACGUCUAAAUUUUAAAAAAUAAUAGGAUGUGGGGUUGUUGGGGGAGGGGGGGAUGAGAUGGAGUGGGGUGAGAAAUAUUUUAAAUUUAAUUAUUUUAAAAAUAAAAAUAUUUUUUAAAUAUAAUUAUUUUUAAAAAAUAUUUUUUUUAAAAUAUAAUUAUUUUAAAAAAAAUGGUAAUACUUUAAUCUUUAGUUUUUAGCUAAUAUUAAUAGUUUAUUUAAUUUUUGUUAAGGUGAAAUAUUUUAUCCAUGUGGAAUACCAUGAGGCAAGGUUUUUUCAAAUAAAAGAGAGUGUAUUACACACACCACUGAGGUGUGUUUCUCAAACUAAUAAAUGAUAGUUUAGGUAUGAAACUCAAAAAAAGGAAAUAGUUUAGGUGCGUUUUUGACACUUAUCUCUAAUCUGAAAGAUAUUAUUAGUUGUACAAGUGUGAAAAAACACUCCAGGAUGUUCCCAAGUGACACAAAUAGAAAGUGUGGUCGAAAUGGGAAAUAUACCAUCAGUUGUCAAUGAAGUUGAAAUAAAAUCAUGAGAGAGUUCCAAUCCUAGUAGAAGCAAAAAGAAAUUAGCCGAUUUCUUCCAAUUUGUCUAAGUUUCAGCUGACAAGAUUACUACCUGGUACCUUUGGGAGGAAGAUACAUGCACCUAGUGGAAUAGUCAAGAUACAUGCAAGUUGGGUUGAAGGCACCUUAUUAGUCUUAGAAGUGUCAAAUCAGAAUAUUUAGUAUGAUGUAUCAUCUGAGAACUUCCUGGGGUGUUUUUGAACACUUGUAGAACUAAUUCUGUUUUCUAACCAUUAGUUAACUCUAUCAAAAGAAUAUCAAGUUGAAGCUAGUUAAGGUGUAGGUAGAAUAUCUAUCAACCAACUUAUCUUCAUGUAGUUCUAUUCAGUUCCAUUUGAUCCAAUAUUGUAUAAUUUACCUUAAAACUAGGAGUCCGAUGUGUUCCACACUUUCAGGAAUAUAAAAGUCUAGCACUGAACCUAUUAUCAGCUGACAAGUAACAACUCUCUAUUUUAAAUAGUUGGCAUUGCCUACAUGGAUCAUCUAUUUAUGUUAGGUUAUGUUCUUAGUUAAGUUCUACCAGAGAUAUUGCACGUCCUUUAGGACAACUCAUCUCCUUGUAAUUUUAGGUGUACUUUGCCUAUUUGAAAUGAUGCUAGGUUGUAUUACUUUUAUUUCGAAGAGAUUUUCGUUGUAUAUGUAUCCACCAAAAGAAUAAUACGAUGAAAAAAAAAUGAGAGAGAAAGAAACAGAUCUGCUUCCAAGUUGUGACAUAAUUUUUUUUUGAAAGUCCUGACAUAAUUUUAUCGAAAAGAAAAAGAAUAUUGAGAGGCCCAGGUGGCACUGAGUUUACUCGCCAUUCUUCUCUUCUUUAGACAAGCCUGAUAAGGAAAGCUGAUUCUUAACAAUGUGUUGCGCAUCAAAGGUUUUCUUUUGUUCUCCUUCAAAAUGCAACUUUACCACAUUAUCAUAGGUAAGGUACUUGUUCAUAGUACAAUUAUUUGGCAUAUAUUGUAGUUACACACGUGCUUGUGUACUUGUUUGUGUUCUAUAGCUUCUUUUUUGUCUAGCGAUUCUACUGAAAUGUUGCUAUGACUUUCUAGGCUAGGUUAAAUAUCACAGAACAUGGUGCAUCUUUUAUUUGGAGCAUGAAAUUGUGUUUCACUCUUGGUCAUGUUAUGUGUAAAAGGCAUUCUGACAUUCAUAUCAGCUAGUUUGCAGGUUUUUACAGAAAAUAGAGCAGAGGCAAUGAAACUGCCAUAACAACGCCGUUCUAAAAGCAGCAUGCCAUGCUCUCAAGUAUAAGUAGAAGAGCUUGUAGACUGCUAUCUUGUUGCUAUGUGCCUCAACAAAAUGUGAAAUCUCUGUCGUGUGUGAAAUCGUUUCAGCUACCUAGUGUUCUUUAGUUGAGGCUUCAUGCUUGCUUCAAUUAGAAGGUGGUUCACCUUGAGAUGUAUCCUUGUCAAUUACAUAAUUAUAUGUAUUUUAUCCAUGGGUUUUUCUCUAUUGGGAGAUUGUUUUUAAGGAAAAGCACACGAUUUGUUGUAACAAUUUACGCAAGCUAUAUUUAAAGAACAUGGUCAGUCAUUUAUGAUGGCGUGCUUAAUUAAUCUCAACAUAUUCUGACUUUCUCCUUUUCAGCUUAAGUUGAUACCGAGCCGGAUGGCUUCUGUUAUGUCAGUAGCAAAGUUGAGCGUAUACAAACGAGCAUCGUUUUAGAUACCCAAAUUACUUUCAAGGGUGAAAACAUGAUUGAAGGACAUUUCUUCCUAUAGCUCAAAAUUUUGAGAUUUGGAAGCAACAAUAUUAUCUGUUAAACUUCUUGACAUAAGUGACCUUUGAAUUCAGUUUUUGGGAAUUAGAUUUUGAAGAAAAGUUGCAUGUUCCAAUUACUUUUUGAGAAAAUAAUGCUUCCUAGUUUAUGUUUUUUGUCUGGAUUUUACUUUUAGUAAGAACAACUUGGUUUGAUAUUUGAAGAAAGAAAUGCUUUGAGAGAGAGAAAGAUAGCUUAUUUUCUUGCUAGUGCAAUAGUAAUAAUAACUAGUAAGAGGAGAGAGAGAUAUGAGGGAGAAGGGGAGUAUAGAAAGUAAGAAUUUCAAUUAGGCCUCCAAAAAUAUUUAAGGGAAUUGCAUUACAUAUAUGAUAUGAUGUUUGCCUAGACGAAAAGGAUAGAGAAAUAAAUACUCGUUAAAAGACAAAAACGCAUAUUCGGCCACCGACUGCAGCAAAAUAGCUGUCGGUGAGCGAGUUCCAGUUGGUCACCCCAUGUGCCGACAUCUUCAAUUUUGUUAUGGUCAUAACUCAUAAGUCAUAACUCAUACAUACAACACGUUUAAACCACAAUAAUUAGGCCAUAUACAAAAUUUAUAGCAGUAGUAUUUAUGCAUAAAUCAAAUGGAGAAAAGUACACUCGAGAAUGGUGAAAAGAAUUACACAAAUAAUACAACGUAAUGGACUUAUCUUAUGAAGAUAAAAAUAAUUCACUUUAUACAUUUACGUACGUACUCGCUGCGAACUAAUGUGGACUCCGAUCUAUUAUUAUUAAUAUUUAUAAAAAAUAAAAUAAAAACCACUCGAAUCAAUCAAUGAAUUAACCAACAUCACAAAAGGAGCUAGCUUAGCACAUACUGUAGUAGAGUGAGUAAUCCAUCAGUUGUUCCUGAUUAAGUUGUCAUCGAAGUUGUUGGAGUAGUUGUACCGGAAGGUUUGAGGUAGACCCACAUUGUUGCCGGAUCCGAUGAACCUCCGUAGCUCCGACCUUACUUUGUAAAAUACGUGCCUCCAGCUGCCCUUGCUGUUGCAUCCCAAUACGGCUUUCUCUUCUUCAUUCAUUUCCAGAUCGUUGGCAAAGGCGGGCUUCUUGGACAUGAUCCAGCCCAAUCCCCAAUCCCACCAUUUCCUAAUGGAAUUGCCCGUGUAUUCUCCCAUAGAGGACAAGGAUUUGGAUCGGCGAAAUGCCCAUGAGGAGGAGGUGGUGGAGGAGUAGAAUGAGAGGAUGGGUUGUUGUUGACAAGUAGACCUCAUCAUGCGCAUGUUCAUCCUUAGAGAGAGAGAAGACAGCCUUUUGCGUACGCCAAGUCCUUCUCCUCUUUCUUCUUCUGUAGGUUGCGACAUGGGCAGAGCUUCUUUGCUCUGAAAACUUUGAAGAAGAGAGCUCAUAUUCUCUGUGCAAGUGUAGGUGAAGAGGAAAUCAAUUCGUCGGUGAAGAGAAGAACUAAAAACUUUCGGCAUAUAGUAUAGGUAAUAGGUAAUAGGUAAUAAUAAACAAGGUGAGUGGUCAUCACUCAUUCACCGUCACCCGCACAUUCCUACGUUUCCAUCGACAGCCUGUUAUAUUCUCCUAUUGUUUGUGAGACUCUUUUACCCCUCGCUGGCCCCAGGCUGUAAGGGAAUAAUUGUAUAUUCACCAAAGCUAGCUAUGGGUUGGACCAUGAGUAUUAUUAACGUUAUUGUUUCGUCCGUCGAAAAGGAUGAAACAUUAUUCCAAGUCAUUUGCCAUUCUCGACUCUCACCCUUCACUGCGGUUUAACACUGAUCUUUGACACUAAUUGUGUCCCAUUUCAACUUCCAACACAGAGACUGUCUUACACCCAAAGUCACAGAGUCACUUGACUGCUACAUAUACCGGAUGAUCACAUUAUGCUACAUGAGUCGGAAAUAGAAUAACUAAGCUAUUUUCCUUCAUUAAUAACUCUCCUGCUCUUAUUGUGUCUCAAAUUGACAGUCUUAACAAAUUGAAAAACCACCUCACCCAGUUGCCAAUAACACCAUACAUACUAUCUUGUAGCUUACCAGUUACCACUAAGCGCUAGAACAACUAUUAGGUCAAGUUGGCAUGCCCUUCACCACAUGUUUGCAAUAGCAAUAGAUAAUAGGAAACUAACAAUCUUAAACCAGCUUCUGCAGUAUUCUUACUGGUGAUGUCCACUAAAAUUUCUUCAAUAAUUUUAGUUUGUGCCUUGAUCUUGCAAGUGAUAUCAACCAAAUAGUUUUACAACAUUUUUUGUUGUUGAAUGUGCCUAUUGUAGGAUAUAAGUAGUCAAUAACUACAUCUAUUCCAAGACCUCGUUAUAUUUGAACACGCAAUCAUAAAGCCUUCCUCCAAGAAACUCAACAACCUCUGGGUGCUUCACCUGAAAACACAAGAAAAAAAGGAUCGAGAAGCAUGAUUAUUAUAAUCAUCAGGUGAGAUAUCCCCACCCUCCAACCGGAUUUAGUGAUAAGUCCCCUCAGAAAGGGAGUUCUUCCCUUCUUUGUUCCCUGUAGAAGCCAGAAGGUGAAGACGGCCAGGGUUGGGUGGAUGGGUUUGGCAUGCACAUCUAUUAAUAAGGCAUUACCAUUCCAAUCUUCAGGGAAUCACAUCUGAAUUGAGCAUAAAGGUUUGUCUCUAUACCACGGCCCUGGCAAAAGAAAUCAAUGUGAUAGCAAAACAAGAGAUUUUAUGAAAAUUACAAUUACUUAAAUAUGCACUUGAAGAAUUUGCACGUACAAAGUUGAACAGAAAUGUUAUUCGUUUUUUAUAUUGUCAAAUGCCUAUAUGAAAGCAGCCCAGAAGAAAGGUAAUUUACAAGUUCCAAGGUACCUGAGGAAGAACUACCACCUCAGUCUUAAUCCAUGUGAAACGAUCCGGUUGUUAAGUCAAAUCAGUUGCUAGUCAGGUAAUAAUUAUCUUUUUGAAACCUGAAAAUACAGGAAAACUAUAUGCUACAUACACAAUACUGCUCCAAUCAGAAACUCCAAAUUAGGAAGGUAAUAAGGGUAUGUCAAGUGGAAACCCUUUUGCACUUGCCUAGAGCAAGGAUACUUUCACCUGAAAACAUAUGCAUUCACUGAAACACGAGACAGACUGUUGAUUUCAGACCGGAGAAACAUUAAAAAGUAAAAGAGUGACUGGGUUUUUUGAGAAAAGGUAACUUGUAUUAGUAACAAAGGAAUACUCAGGACGUAUUCAAGUAAUACUUACAAUCGGAGAUACAAAAGUGUUGUUUUCCUAUGAACUCAUUAAGAAUUCUAAGAUACUAGGGAUAUCCUCAUCUUCAUGAGGAUAUUCAUGUUUACACCAAAAAUAGAAAAGAGCUAAACAACUCAGCUGCAUCUUCUCCAUAGAGCAGCUCUUGUUCUCAAAACAUCUCUGAUUCCUUUCCAGCCAAAUAGUCCACCAAAUGCAAGUUGGGACAAUCUUCCAUCUCUCCCUGUGCACCGACUGAUUUCCUUCCCGAUUCCAACAUGCCAAAGCUUCCUUUAUGUUUCCUGACAUAGACCAACUGAUUCCCCUUAUAUUGAUGAAAAUCUGCCAAAGUUUCAUUGUCUCCUUACAGUGUAAAAAGAGAUUAUUUAUUGUCUCUGCCUCACAUUCACAAAAAAAACAUCUAGAGCACAAAUGGAGGCCCUUCUUCAUACGGUUAUCCUACAUGAGAACAACCCGUUUUGCUAAUAGCCAAGUAAAACAAGCCACCUUGAAGGGCACCUUAAUUUUCCAGAUCAUUUUUCAUGGCCAGUAGCUUGGUUGAGUGUGUGUCCUCUGGGAGUUUCUGUAAGCUCCUCCAACUGAGAAUCUCCCAAGCCCAUAAUAGUUUGUUUUCACUGUUAUUGAGUUCCUUGCAUCAUUCCAGGAUAUUCAGAAAUUCAACCAUGCUAUUCACCUCCCAAUCAUUUAAAGGUUUCCUGAACCGUAAGUUCCAACCCUGAGCAUCUCUCAUUUCUUUGACAGUGGCCACUUUCUGUAGACUUAAGCUGAAUAGGUCAAGGAAACUAGCUUUGAGUGAAGCCUGUCCCACCCAAACUUCCUCCCAAAACAGAGUUUUUCCACCAUCUCCUAUCUUAAUUAUGCACUUGUUUAAAAGUUUGGCCAUAGAUUCCUAAUUGUCCUCCACACUCCGGUGUCAUAUGGUUGUGUUGCUAUGUUGUUGAUUCACCUUGUAUCCAUUUCAUAUCUGGCCUUAAUGGUAUCUUUCCACAGCGGUUGUUCUUGUGAUGAAAAUCUCCACAGCCAUUUCAUUAGCAAGUUGUGGUUUUGUAAUUUCAGAUUCCUUGUUCCUAGUCCCCCUUUUUUUUGUUGACAAAGUUCAUCCCACUUGACUAAGUGAACCUUGUGCUUAUUAGGAUUACAGUUUCCUUGCCAAAGAAAAUUUCUUCUAAUGCCAUCUAAUCUCUCUUACACUUGCUGGCAUAGGGUACACAGACAUCAUGUAGGUAGGCAAAGCAUCAAGAACACUGUUGAUGAGAGUAACUCUGCCACCUAGGGAUAAAUACUGACUUUUCCAGUUGGCAAGCUUCUUCUCGCAUUUCUCUAGUACAUUAUUCUAUAUGCCUUUUGAUUUGAUCUUAUCUCCCAGAGGCAUUCCCAAAUAUAUUGUGGGCAGCUCCCAUAUCUUUCAUCCCAAAAUAUUUGCCUAACUGUCAAUCCUAGGUACCUCAUUCACUGGAUAGAUGAAACUUUUGCCCCAAUUGAUGUGUAGACUUGAGGUUGCUUCAAACAAUUUCAGUAUUAUUCUUAAAAACUUCAGUUGGCUGAUGUCUGCAUCACAAAAUAUUAGAGUGUCAUCUGCAUAUUGGAGAUGUGAGAUGGCUAGACUCUGUCUAUCCUCCAUGUGUUUGUUUGGGCUGUUCUUAGCAUAUCAUUGAGACCCUCCAUUGCCCAGAGAAAGAGAAAAGAAGAUAAUGGAUCCCCUUGUCUCAGGCCUCUCUCAGAUGAGAAGAAACUUGUGGGAGAGUCAUUAAUCAAAACUGAAAAUUUCACUAUAAUGGUGCAAGAUUUGAUCCUGUUUAUCCAUCUUUCCCCAAAUCCCAUGUUUUCCAAAGUCUUCCAUAGGAAACCCCAAUUUAAGUGGUCAUAGGCUUUCUCUAUAUCCAGCUUACAAAGAAUGUCUGGGACCUUGCUAAUUUGCCUCACAUCUACACAUUCGUUGGCAAUCACAAUAGCAUCCAUGAUCUUCCUGCCCUUAAUAAAUUCCAUCAGAUGUGUAUCUACUAGUUUUGAAACGACUUUUUUCAGCCUCUCAGUGAACACUUUGAGAUGAUCUUAUAUAUGCUACCUAUUAAGCUAUGAAGGUGGGCAUUGAAGCUUCUUUCAAAAAUGUUCUGAACUGCUGCCACUACUUUGCUUACUAUUUCCCAACAAUUGGUGAAAAAUGUCAUGGUGAAUCCAUCCGGUCCAGGUGCCUUGUUAUGCGCACAUGCCAUCACACAUUCUUUGAUCUCAGCCUCACUAAAUUGACUUUGUAUCAUUAAAUUGUCUUCUUCACUAAUAACCGCACCUCAUCUAUGGUCAGGGAAGGAUCUAUGAAGGCUCGUGGGGGUGCCAUGCGGCCAUGCCACCCACAAGCUCUGACGAAAACACACACACACACUCUCUCUCUCUCUCUCUCUCUAUAUAUAUAUAUAUUAUAUAUAUAUAUAUAACAUAUAAAUAACUAACGUGCCACCCAGUGGAACAAAGUACUAUGUGGUGCCAGUGGCAUAGGAUCAAACAUUGUCCGCGGAGGUCGCGGGAUCGAAUCAUGUUGCCUGCUUUCUUUUCGUCAACACAUCCACUAUAUCCCUUUGAUUCCUAACUCAAGACCACCCAACAUCCGUCCGUAUCGUUAUCCGUAUUUCCAAAAAUCAGAAAAUGAAAAAUAAGUUUCUGAAUCACUCCAGAAGGGUUUUAUAAGGUGAAGUACGAGUCCGUUUGCUAGCCCUGUCCUUCUCGUCAAGAAAAAGGACAAUACAUGGCGUAUGUGCAUUGAUUAUAGAGGUCUCAACCAAAUCACUAUUCCAGAUAAGUACCCAAUUCCAAAUAUUGACGAGCUUCUUGACGAAUUGCAUGGAACAACUAUUUUUCGAAGAUUGAUUUUCAUUCUGGUUACCACUAGAUACGUGUUGAUCUAGCCGACAUUCAUAAAAUUGCUUUUCGUACUCACUCUGGUCAUUAUGAGUUCACUGUUGUGCCCUUUGGUCUCACUAAUGCUCCUUCGACUUUCCAAUGUGCUAUGAAUGAUUUGUUCCGAUCACACCUACAUAAAUUCAUUCUUGUAUUCUUUGACGACAUCUUGGUAUACAGACUGUUGAGCAACAUAUCAAUCACUUAGAACUUGCUCUCCAACUUCUGAGAGAUAACUAUUUCUAUGCCAAAACUUCUAAAUGCUCAUUUGGGCAAAUCCACAUUUCAUUUUUGGGUCACGUGAUUUCAAAAAAAAAAAGGGUUGGUGUUGAUUGGGAUAAAGUUCAAGUUGUCUUGGAGUGGCCAGUACCAAUUAAUGUGAAGGAGUUACGUGGAUUUCUUGGGUUAACAGGUUAUUAUCGCAGAUUUGUGAAGGGUUAUGGAAUGAUGGCUCGACCACUCAUGAACUUACCAAGAAAAAUGCUUUUCAAUGGUGGAACUCAGCUGAGAAUGCUUUCCAACUUCUAAAGCAAGCCCUAACAAUUGUUCCGGUACUACAACUUUCAGAUUUCACUCAACUAUUUGUUGUGCUUCAGAAGGAAUAGGGGCUAUUCUUCUUCAGGAUGACCAUCCUAUUGCUUAUUUUAGUAAGGGACUUUCUUUUUCCAGUCGUUUGAAAUCUACUUAUGACCGCGAAUUGCUUGCUCUUGUUUAACUUUGCAGAAAUGGAAACACUACCUCCCGGGCCAUCAUUUUUAUGUCCGAACAGAUCAUUGCAGCCUCAAGUAUCUUCUUUCCCGGCGUAUUACUACUAAUGAGCAGCAAAGAUUAUUUAUAAAAUUGCUUCCCUUCGACUUCACAAUUGUUUACAAAGCUGGAAAAGACAAUUUGGGAGUUGAUUCUCUUUCAAGGAGGCCAUUAAAUGCUGAAUUUCUGGCUCUUGCUAUUCCUGUGCCAAUGGAUUUUUCCAAUUGGCAAAAUACUCUCCAAGUAGAUACAUAUACUCAUGAGAAUUGAGAUUAUUCAAGCCAUUCACCAUGAUCCUUCCUUACAACCAGAUUUUCAUCUUGUGGAUCAGAAACUUUAUUUCAAGUAAAGGUUGGUCGUUCUGGAUCAAUCGUCUAUUCGACAAAAGCUUCUCUCAGAGUCUCACGACACACCUUCUGCCAAGCAUGGAGGAUAUUUGAAAACCUUGAAGCGCCUUUCCUCCAACUUUUCCUGGCCAAGGAUGUAGCAUGAUGUUAAGAUCUUUGUUCAGAACUGUUUGGUUUGUCAACAAGCCAAAUACCAAGCUCUAGCACCUGCUGGACUUCUACAACCCUUGCCUAUACCUAAUAGAAUUUGGGAAGAUGUCUCACUUGACUUCAUUGUAGGACUUCCCAAAUCGGGUGGUUUUGAUACAAUUUUGGUAGAUUGUUGCUAAGGUUUUCUGCAAAGAAAUUGUGCGUAUUCACGGCAUUCCUCGGUCAAUCCUAUCUGAUCGGGAUGUUAUCUUUCUCAGUGCUUUGUGGCAGGAGCUUUUUCAACUUAGCCAGACAAGGCUAAGAAUGGGUACAUCUUACCAUCCACAAUCUAAUGGACAAGCAGAGGUGGUUAACAAAUGCUUGGAAUCGUAUUUACGAUGCUUUGUUAUGGAGCAGCCUCGUACAUGGAGUCAGUUUCUACCAUGGGCAGAGUUUUCUUUUAACACGGGCUUCCACUCAUCCACAUAAACUACCCCAUUCAAGGUUGUUUAUCGUAGGGACCCUCCAUCCAUUUCUCCUUUUGUUCAUGGAGAAACCCGCAUUGCUGAACUUGAAGAACAACUUUUGAAUCAUGAUGCCAUGCUGAAAAUUCUCAAGGAUAACCUUUUAAAGGCUCAAACUCGAAUGAAACAACAAGCUAAUUCUCAUCGUUGAGAUGUUACCUUUCAAGUUGGAGAUUCUGUCUUUCUACGUGUUUAGCCUUACCGUCAACGUUCUUUGGCUCAUUGCAGGUGCGAAAAAUUGUCACCUCGAUUUUUUGGACCAUAUAAAAUUGCACGAUGUAGCUUAUGAACUGGAGCUUCCUGCUUCCUCCAAAGUACAUCCGAUUUUUCAUGUAUCUUUGCUCCGUCCAGCUCAUGGUCAACAAGUUGUUAUACAACCAGCCCCUCCUCCUCUUGCACAAUAUCUCCUGCCAAGAUUCUUGCACAUCGAUGGGUCAAAGAAGCUGAUUCUUCUUUUUUGGAACUGCUCGUUCACUUGGUUGACCGUCCGCUUGAAGAAGCUAGUUGGGAAAACUAUGAUCUCAUUGCAGAUCAGUUUCCUACUUUUCAGGGAGGAUGCACUGAUACAAAUGCUCCUUUAAGGACUUACUCUAGAAGAAAGUAUAGGCGAGCAGCAUGUGGAGAUAAUCUUAGUUUAUCUGUCUUAAGUUUCUUUGUUUUAAAUAGGAUAAAAUAAUAAGCAGGAAUUAUUUAUAGUAGUUAUAAGUAGAAGUUAUUACCAGCAGCAGUAAUCUACAGCAGUAACUGUUUCUAUCUCUAUCCAUUAGGAGUUAUCUUUAUGUUUAUUAUAAAUACUAGUUUUUUUGACAGUGUAUUUUAGGAGAAUUCUGCAGAAGAAAUAUAUUAUUAUUGUCUUUGAAUCUGGAGAUUUGUCCACUCCAUACGGACAUUGUUUAUUGGUUAAUGCAGUGUUUAAGAUUCUUGCACUUCAUUUAACCAGUAAAGUUUCAUUUUCAUCUCGUUUCAUUUUAGUUUCUAUCAGAUUCCCACCAACAUAAGCAUCAUCGCCAGUCCUAUGCCUAAAACUUUUUUUGAGUAUUGGUAACAAAGUCCUAUGCCUAAAUCUUACUGCAUGCCCUCAAUAAAUAGCCAAUUGCAACCAAUAUUUUCUUCCAUUUGAACUGAUUUUAAUAAUCCUUCUAGUUGCUUUAAUUGGUGCAAUUGUUGUAGCUCGUCCAUAAAAUUUUUUCUAUUAAAACAUGGAACCUGGUGCAACAGCAAGCACCAGUUUAACUUGGGAGGUGGUGAUUUAGUAGGGGUAUUAUCUCAAUUCCAAUAAAAAUGCAAUCGCGUAAAGUAUGACUUGGUGAUCAGAACAUAUGUGGAUAGACAUUAUGACGUAUAUUACUGAUGGUAUUAAGAUAUGAAACAAAAGCUGUAGUUACAGUAACAAAGCAUUGACAGCAAAAGACUCACCAUGCCUUCCAGAAUGACAAGGUCAGCAUCGCUUGCCAAGUAGGCAAGCUCUUGUGAUAUUCCCGUAAGAUCAAUAACCUGUCGUCACAGUGAAGUAAGACUGUCAAUUAAGGUGGAGCAUCCAGAUAUAUUCAUAAGUUCUGGAGAUAGUACCAUUUUUUGGCAAAUAAGUAACUCUACUUUUAUUUUGUUAACUUAUGACGCAUUGAAUAUUCGUGAACAUAAAAUUUUGGGGAUUUAACUAAAUGCUGGCAUCAGACUUCAAUUUACUUCAUAAGAAUUUGUGAAAGGGAUAGCUGCUCAAAUAAUAGCUUGAGCGAAGAUUAACAAGCUAGAAAGUAGAAAUUUUGUGAGGCCAAUGCUCGACUCUCGUCAAAAACCUCAAUUUAGAGGGGCUAUCUAAAGUUUAGAAGUCACAGGAUUCCACCCUUUCUAAAAAUUUUGAAGUGGAGGUAAUGGGUGGGUGGACUGGGGACAGUGCAUCAUGCAAAUGAAGUAGAUAAGUGACUGCCCCUUACUGGUAAAUCAUUUCCAGAAUUCGCAACUAAAAGGUUGGAUGUGUCCACACCUACAAGCUUCCCCUGCUCAUCUUUUAACUGUUAAUAAGCAAAAAUACAUGUUCAUUAAACCUAAAGUAGGUAAAAUUGAAAGCAUCUACCACCUCAAAUAAAGUAGGUAAAUUUGAAUAACAUUUCUACCACCUUAGAUAUUAUCUCUACCAACUCAGGGUAAGUAACAUCGUUAAUAGAAGGCAAGUCAUUAGCUGCCAAAAUAACCUGCAAAGACAAAAAAAAAUUGCCAAUGUCAUUACAAGGAGAGCUUAAUUGAGUUGUGAGCACUCAAAUACAGCCAAUGUCUAAUCCAAUCUGACGCACCUUCAUAUAAUUAUCAAGUCUAUGAAUAUGAAAACUGCUAACUUAUGAUGAAGCUUUAUUCAUACUUAAAAUCUGGUUUAUUGAAUUUUUAACUAUAUGGCUAUAGUCUCAGAGUUUGUGUCCAGUAACUUCUUAGCCUCAUUGGAUUGAGGGAAUAGAAAUAAGACAAUAAUGAUAGCCUCAAGGCGCCAAAUUUCUUUUUUCUUUAUAAACAUUUGGAAUACUAAACACCUAUGAGAUUAUUAUAGAUAAUUGGAUACUCUAUUACUCUUCGUAGGUAAUUGCAUUUUUGCGUAGAUUCUCUACUUUAUGAUAAACCACUUGUACGAGGCACUCCCUAAAUUUAUCAAUACAAAUUAUUACCUUAUGAAGAAGAAAAAAAGUGCCACAAGUACAAUUCAGGCAUAAGAGAAUCACAGAACACCUAUUCACCUAAUGUUGUACUGAAAAAUAAACCACAUCCAUUUGACUGAAUGCAGCUAAGAAAAGAGCAUUAGAAGAGGAUAAAUUAACUCUCUUAGAUACAGAAAACAGCAUGUUAAAAUAUUUAGUGUUGUUAACUAUAAUUAAUAUCUACAGAACUGAGCAUAUUAAAGAUGCCUGUAAAAUGGUAACUUUACUACUAUAAAAAAAAUGCCUAUAAAAUGGCAUUUUAAAUUUGCAAUGUAGUCAAAAUAUAUUAUGUAAUCUAUCUUUUCUUUUUCAGUUUAGUGAACAGUGAACUCUAGAAAAUUUCCAUUUUAUGUGCAAGAGAGAAACAAGACUCCCAAGUAACCUGUGUCCCAUGACGAAGUAAUUCUCUCGUAAAUGGCAGAAUGCCCAGAAUAAUAUCUGCACCAGAAUUAUCCACAAAGAUUACAGCCUGUAUAGGAGUAAGCAAGUCAGUGAACCAGCAUACAUCAAACGCAUGGGCGGAGCCAGGAAUUUCACAAAGGGUGUCCAGAAAUAGCACAAUAAAAGCUCUUUUCAAAAAGUAGAACUAGUGAGAUUCGAACACACAAUCACUGACCACGUGAACCAGCAUACAUCAAACGCAUGGGCGGAGCCAGGAAUUUCACAAAGGGUGUCCAGAAAUAGCACAAUAAAAGCUCUUUUCAAAAAGUAGAACUAGUGAGAUUCGAACACACAAGCACUUCCACUUUCCAAGGAGGUGAAGCCACUGGGUUAUAACAGCUUGUUAUGUUAAGGGUGUCUAAAAUAUGUUAUUUAAUCAUUUUGUGUAUCAUUUUACUUGUAUAUACAAUAUUUUUUUCCGACGAAGGGUGUCCAAUUGGACACCCUGACCACCAUGUGGCUACGCCACUGAAUUCAAACGCAUCGGAUAUUUGUCAUAAACAAGUAAAACAUAAAGCCCAGUGGAGAAGAUAAGUUUCACAUAUGGUUAACUACUAGCCUUUUUCCAUGAUUUCCUGCUCCAUUUUGUUAUGAAAGAAUAUUUGUCAUAAACAAAUAAAAACAUAAAGCCCAGUGGAAAAGAUAACUUUCACAUUUGGUUAACUACUAACCUUUUUCCAUGAUUCUCUGCUCCAUUUUGUUAUGAAAGUAUCCAAGUCAUCAAUAACCCAAGGUCGAGGAACGAGGUUUUGGCAACUAGCUAAAAAAGAAAUGCCAUCCCUUGAAAAUAGCUCCGCAAGCUUCAAAAAAUUAUUCAUUAAGAACAAUUGAUUCAACCUUGAAAAUGUUCAUUUUCUAAAGGCUAGUUGUGAUUUAAGCAAGAUUAAGGGUAUCAAUCUAUCAACUUGGAAAGAUUUUUAGCAUGUGGAAGAGUCUGAAUAGAUUCUAUUAACUCCGGAAGUAAAACUCUUCACAGACUUGGAUUAAGUAUGCAUUUGUGUGCAUCAACUUCUACUCUUUCAAGGAGUGCAUUUUGAAAUCAGUUUGAAUUAUCAGUUUGCGAUGGUUUCUUUGGUCCUGUGAUUAAUUGUUUGAUUGUGUAGCUAACAAUUAAGUUCUAUCUACUAUCUAAUAAACAUACUUGGGAGUUGGGAAAGAUGUUGUCUUAGAGAAAGGAUAACAAGAGUGAGAUCUAAUUCCCUAAAGGUAGGACAAGGAUUUGCGACUAGGAUAGGAAUAUACCUAGCUGCCGCAUUCAAUUAAAUGUCUUAAACAUUAUGCAUUCUUGAGAGAUCAAUUCUAUAGGAAUAAAGGCGAUGAUCUAUUUUGAAUAGGCGAGUAGUAAUGCGGGAGAAUCUACUAGUAUUAAUGAUCCGGUAAUUAGCAAUCAUCAAUAAUUCAGAUUAGGAGGAAGUAUUUUGAUACCUCAAUAGGAUUGGUGACCCAACCACAACCCUGGAAUGCUCAUCUCUCUAUGUAAAUUCUAAAGUGUGAAAUCACGUCAUAGAUUACUUGUUAGCAUAAAUAAUCUAGUUUUAAUUUUUGUAGUAGUUUAUAAUCAAAUCAACUGUGGGAAAAAAUACUUGUUUAAUUAAUUAGUAAUAGUGAAGUCUAAUCGAGUCACUAUAUUACUAGGCAACCAUGUGCGCCUGCGUAUGCCUUUGGGAGCAACACAAGUGGUCACCAUAAUACUCAAAAUAUUUAGAAAGGCCCCAAAUUGGUUAAUGGAAAGAGUACUAUAUUUAGUUUUUUUAUCAAGAAUAGCAUUAUAUUUAGUUUGCAUCACUCGGUUCACUGUCAUUGCAUAUAAUACAAAUAUAAAACAUGGCCAAACUCGUGAUGAAGAUGAACUGACUCUUUGUGAUAGUGGUGAAUAAAUCAGUGAUCACUUGCUCUUGCCACAUUCCUAUUGAGGUUAAAUUAGCUUUAAAAUGUCUUCUUUCAAGAUGAACCCAAUGACACAAAGCACAUGUUAUAAUAAACACAAAAUUAGUUCUUAAAUUACGCGCUUUUGAGAAGCUCUUGCCACAUAAUUUUUUAGUUCUUUUUUAAUCCAGACCCUCCUUCGAACACCACGCACAGAAGAAACUUAGUGCACCGAGCUCCCCGCACCACCACCCACGACAAUGGUAUAUGAGUACUCUUGCCAUAUAAUCAAAGGCACAAAUCUUAUAUGCAUACAUUUCUUUGUUGAGGGAGGAGUCAUCGAAUAAAGGGCAUGGCAUACCUCGGCAUAGUCAUGGCAAGACAGAGGUACAAUUUAAUGUUAAGUACAUAUAUAUUUCUUUAUAUAUGAGUCAUCUAUGAAACAUUACCUACCUGUGCCGAGCCAAGAUCAAAUAGGUUUCCUGCAAAAAUCCCUUUGACCAAGUUCUCCAUACGCUUAGCUUCAUCCUCAAUAGCAUCAUUUAGAUGUACUACAUCCUCAAAUAAGGAUAUAGCCUUUGCAUUUUCUUCGUCCUAGUUGAUUUACAUAAGCCCAACAACAAAAAAGAGUCAAAUCUUCUACAUUUUGGUUCACGUGGGAUAACAGGUUAAAAAACAACAAAAUGAUUUUCAAAUGAGCAAUGAGCUUAUUAAUUUGACCUAAAAGUUGAUCAGCAAAAAUUCUCACAGGAAAAUUGGGAUUGCUUAUUUGAACAAUAAGGGAUGCUCACAUCAACAAUAGAGACCAAAGUGUGUGUUUGCAUAGUCAUGCAUGAAGUACUGGUUUAUGGACAGAGAUACUUUCCUUAAAAACAAUAUCUAAAUAAUGUUUGGUUAUAAAUUGGAACAAUUUUUGUUUAUUUUUUUUUUUGCAGUUAACUUUCUCAAAAAAAAAUUGGAACAAUUUUUUGGUUAGUUUUUGAAGAUGCGUUUGUGUGUUUGGAAAACUGAUUUGACCUCUUUUUCAGUGAAUUUUUUUAUUCCCACUCACAAAAACUCCAAACUCUUUUUCAAGUGAAAUACAUGUUCAAACAAAACUUUAACUUCCAGAUACCAUUUUUCAACUUCAAAAUGUUUUUUUUUUUUUUUAAGUUUCAAACGUAGAUGAUACAUGUUUUUUUAUGAUUGCGAUAGAUUUCAUCUUUAUUAAAGUUCUUUAUAUCUUUGUUGUUCAUUGAGAACUUCCAAUUCUAAGAAAUGAUGAAUAAGUCAACCUGAGCACUCACCUUAACUUUUUUAAAUAUAUCUCUGAAUCCCAAUUCCCUAAGCACUUGCUCCCUAAGGCGACAAAGAAGCUAAAAAGUGUACAUAGAAGGAAACAGGUUAGCAAGAUAGAGAAAGGACACAUAAAUGAUGGAUCCAUUCUAUAUUAAAAUGGUUAAGACUUACAAUGCCAUCAGGAGGCCCUCCGUGACUUUUAGGAUCUUUCUUCAAAUCCUCGAGUAUUUCAGUGUACCUAUGAACAUCUUACUAUAAAUCUCCUUAAAUACACAAACAGCCUAUUCCAUAAGGAAGGUUAUGCUUUAGUUUGAUGAAAAAAGAGACGAAGACAUGGAUGGGUGAGAGUUAAUUCCCUUACUGAAUAGAGUAAAGAGAAAACAGGAACAAAAAUGUUACCUGUGAGCAAACUUUUCGGCUCGAGAAAGAGCAUCUGGAACAGUGUCAUCGCUCUCGGCCCUCUUCCUGAAGUUAAUUUAAAAUAUUUCCACAAACCAACCAAAAAAAAAAAAAAAAAAAAAAAAAGAAGGAAAAAAGGAG